AUCCAGCUGACAAGUUCAAAACAGGACAACACACAUGUCCUGGAU
rfam:Schistosoma mattheei strain Denwood, Zambia genome assembly, scaffold: SMTD_scaffold0000038